AUAGUUUGAUGCUGGCUCAGAAUGAACGCUAGCGGCAGGCCUAACACAUGCAAGUCGAACGGUAACAGGGAUUGCUUGCAAUCCGCUGACGAGUGGCGCACGGGUGCGUAACGCGUAUAGAACCUACCCUUUACAGGGGGAUAGCCCGGAGAAAUUCGGAUUAAUACCCCAUAGAACUAUUUAAUGGCAUCAUUUUAUAGUUAAAGUUUCGACGGUAAAGGAUGGCUAUGCGUCUUAUUAGUUAGUAGGUGAGGUAACGGCUCACCUAGACAGCGAUAAGUAGGGGCCCUGAGAGGGGGAUCCCCCACACUGGUACUGAGACACGGACCAGACUCCUACGGGAGGCAGCAGUGAGGAAUAUUGGACAAUGGUCGAGAGACUGAUCCAGCCACGCCGCGUGCAGGAAGACGGCCCUACGGGUUGUAAACUGCUUUUUUACGGGAAGAAUAAUACCCACGUGUGGGUAGAUGACGGUACCGUAGGAAUAAGGACCGGCUAACUCCGUGCCAGCAGCCGCGGUAAUACGGAGGGUCCGAGCGUUAUCCGGAAUUAUUGGGUUUAAAGGGUCCGCAGGCGGGCCAGUAAGUCAGGGGUGAAAGUUUGCGGCUUAACCGUAAAAUUGCCUUUGAUACUGCUGGUCUUGAGUUGCGGUGAAGUGGCCGGAAUAUGUGGUGUAGCGGUGAAAUGCAUAGAUAUCACAUAGAACACCGAUUGCGAAGGCAGGUCACUAACCGCCGACUGACGCUGAUGGACGAAAGCGUGGGGAGCGAACGGGAUUAGAUAC
rnacentral:rRNA from 1 species